rnacentral:lncRNA from 1 species
GUAACUUCACCCUAGCCUCUGAUUGGCUGCCUUUUGCAACCAAUCAGAUGUCUGUACAAGAAUGUGACCUUUGUAACUUUACUUUAGCCUCUGAUUGUCUGCUUUCUGUAACCAGUCAGACUGAUUGCAGGCUAUCACUUCAUUUACAUGAGGUGAGCAUGAAGUGGCUGAUGGGAAACACCUAGGUGGUAUGUGGAACCAAGAAGAUUCUGUAUCCAGACCCUCCAGCCACUGCUCGGGCCUGCUCCCACACUGUGGAGUGUACUUUCAUUUUCAAUAAAUCCCUGCUUUCGUUCUUUUGUUGCUUCAUUCUUUGCUUUGCUGGGCAUUUUGUCCAAUUCUUUGUUCAAAAUGCCAAGAACCUGGACAACUUGCAGUAAGGACCCUCUACCAGUGACAUAUCUUUGCAAUCCAGCCAGGAGAAAAGGCUUCUGGACCUGUGAUGGGAGGAGCUGCCAUGAAGACCUCUGACAUACCCUGGGGCCUCAGCCAUGAACCUAGUGAAGAGUGAGGAAAACACGUCUUUACCUCCUUCACCACGAGAAAGCUGUGGAAGACAAAGCAGUGAAAUAGAACAGCCCUCUGGGGUCCCAACAACCUGGGCAGAAGGUUGUGGGGAAGGUCUCACUUGAACUGGUUCUGACUAAGUGAGCCUUGUGUUCUCUGGACUUGGUGAAUAUUGAAACCACAUAUUCCUCAUAUUCAUGGAACAUGUUUCAAGGGAGAAAACAUAAUUUCCUUUUUAGGUUCUUAGUCAAGACACUCUCCUGAAAACAAGUUGUAUUAACAAAAGAAAAACAGAAGUUUGUUAACACGUGUUGUACCCAUCAUGUGGGACCUGUGUCAGUCUGAAAGUAUUUCUCUCUCAAGGCAGCAGCUUAGGGGUCUUAUUUAAACAGUACUUUAACAAAGAGCCAUAAAUCCUAUAGAGACAAGGACAAAGAAGCAGGCAGGAAAAUGUGGGAAGGUAAAUUUAUGAGAAAAGUACAGUCUGCUCCUAGAUGCUAUGGUGCUGCUGUCUCUGAGCUCUGUGCCUGAGCUGAUAAAGGCAGACGGGAGAGGCAGACUGUGCCCUUGCACUUUAACCUUUUAGCUUUAACUAAAAUCCCCAGGAUUUUAGAGAAGAAUAUUUUUUUUUUGCUUCAUUCAACUUCAAUAAACUAUGAAAAUCCCAUCAUGAGCACUCACGUCACAAGCACCACACUCCUUCUGGUCACACCAUUCUAACCUUUCCAUGCCAUGUGACAUCUU